rnacentral:rRNA from 1 species
AUUGAACGCUGGCGGCAGGCCUAACACAUGCAAGUCGAACGAGUGGCGGACGGGUGAGUAAUGUCUGGGAAACUGCCUGAUGGAGGGGGAUAACUACUGGAAACGGUAGCUAAUACCGCAUACCAUCGGAUGUGCCCAGAUGGGAUUAGCUUGUAGGUGAGGUAACGGCUCACCUAGGCGACGAUCCCUAGCUGGUCUGAGAGGAUGACCAGCAAAACGGGAACGGAGAAACGGGCAAGACUCCUACGGGAGGCAGAAGUGGGGAAUAUUGCAAAAUGGGCGAAAGCCUGAUGCAGCCAUGCCGCGUGUAUGAAGAAGGCCUUCGGGUUGUAAAGUACUUUCAGCGGGGAGGCGUUACCCGCAGAAGAAGCACCGGCUAACUCCGUGCCAGCAGCCGCGGUAAUAC